rnacentral:rRNA from 1 species
UACGGAGGGUGCAAGCGUUAUCCGGAUUCACUGGGUUUAAAGGGUGCGUAGGCGGUCAUGUAAGUCAGUGGUGAAAUCUUCAAGCUUAACUUGGAAACUGCCAUUGAUACUAUGUGUCUUGAAUGUUCUGGAGGUUAGCGGAAUAUGUCAUGUAGCGGUGAAAUGCUUAGAUAUGACAUAGAACACCUAUUGCGAAGGCAGCUAACUACGGAAAUAUUGACGCUGAGGCACGAAAGCGUGGGGAGCAAACAGG